AUUGAACGCUGGCGGCAGGCCUAACACCUGCAAGUCGAGCGCGCGGCGGACGGGUGAGUAAUGUAUGGGGACUGCCCGAUAGAGGGGGAUAACUACUGGAAACGGUGGCUAAUACCGCAUAAUGCCGGAUAAACCCUAUGUGAUUAGCUCGUAGGUCAGGUAAUGGUUUACCUAGGCGACGAUCCCUCGCUGGUCUGAGAGGCUGAUCAGCCACACGGGGACUGGGACACGGCCCAGCAUACUACGGAGGCAGCAGGGGGGAAGAUUGCACAAUGGCGGAAGCCUGAUGCAGCCAUGCCGCGUGUAUGAAGAAGGCCCUAGGGUUGUAAAGUACGUUCAGUCGGGAGGCGUUACCGACAGAAGAAGCACCGGCUAACUCCGUGCCAGCAGACGCGGUAAUUC
rnacentral:rRNA from 1 species